rnacentral:rRNA from 1 species
AAAGGAAUAGACGGGGGCCCGCACAAGCGGAGGAACAUGUGGUUUAAUUCGAUGAUACGCGAGGAACCUUACCUGGGCUUAAAUGUAGGCUGCAUGACUUAGAAAUAGGUUUUCCCUUCGGGGCUGCUUACAAGGUGCUGCAUGGUUGUCGUCAGCUCGUGCCGUGAGGUGUCGGGUUAAGUCCCAUAACGAGCGCAACCCCUAUCGUUAGUUGCCAGCGGGUCAAGCCGGGGACUCUAGCGAGACUGCCACCGUAAGGUGAGAGGAAGGUGGGGAUGACGUCAAAUCAGCACGGCCCUUAUGUCCAGGGCUACACACGUGUUACAAUGGCCGAUACAAAGGGCAGCUACCGGGCGACCGGAUGCUAAUCUCGAAAGUCGGUCCCAGUUCGGAUUGGAGUCUGCAACCCGACUCCAUGAAGUUGGAUUCGCUAGUAAUCGCGCAUCAGCCAUGGCGCGGUGAAUACGUUCCCGGGCCUUGUACACACCGCCCGU